CUUCCUGUCCACCCCUCCUCCUGUUUCUGUACCACCUUGGGUGCAGCCUGCAUAACUGGUUCCUAUACCGUCCUCUGCGUCUCUGCCAAGGUUUGUUCCUCCUCCACCCCUCAGUGUCAAGGAGCAAAGAGAGCUUUUUGGGCUUAGACCGCCCACUUCAGAUUUCCUCACCAGCGUCCCAGGAAGGUCUGCUGUGUAUCCUCAUCUUGAAGGUAGUGGCUUUAUGAAGAAGAGGUCCUGUAGUGCUCUGCUAUGCAGUGUCCCCUGUUCACCAGACCUGAUGCUUCAUGGAUGCCUGAAGUUACUCUUCUAUCAGCUCUGACUUAGAGCUUAGAUUUUUACAGAAGACAAGAAGAGAAGUUAUUUCUGAGUAGCUUCUGUGAAGAGAAAUGAAGCAGCCUAAGGGAAUAGAAAAUGCUGGAGUGUGGUAUUUUGCAUAGAAAGCGGAGGUAUGUCCUU